rnacentral:misc_RNA from 1 species
AACUUUCGACAACGGAUCUCUUGGUUCUGGCAUCGAUGAAGAACGCAGCGAAAUGCGAUAAGUAACGUGAAUUGCAGAAUUCAGUGAAUCAUCGAAUCUUUGAACGCACAUUGCGCUCCCUGGUAUUCCGGGGAGCAUGCCUGUUCGAGCGUCAUUACAACCCUCAAGCUCUGCUUGGUGUUGGGCCCCGCCGUCCCGGCGGGCCCUAAAGUCAGUGGCGGUGCCGUCCGGCUCCGAGCGUAGUAAUUUUUCUCGCUUUGGAGGCCCGGGCGCGUGCUCGCCAUCAACCCCCAAUUUUUUCAGGUUGACCUCGGAUCAGGUAGGGAUACCCGCUGAACUUAAGCAUAUCAAUAAGCGGAGGCU